AUCGAACGCUGGCGGCAGGCCUAACACAUGCAAGUCGAACGAGUGGCGGACGGGUGAGUAAUGUCUGGGAAACUGCCCGAUGGAGGGGGAUAACUACUGGAAACGGUAGCUAAUACCGCAUACCAUCGGAUGUGCCCAGAUGGGAUUAGCUAGUAGGUGGGGUAAGGGCUCACCUAGGCGACGAUCCCUAGCUGGUCUGAGUGGAUGACCGGCCACACGGGAACUGAGACGCGGGCCAGACUCCUAGGGGAGGCAGCAGUGGGGAAUAUUGCACAGUAGGCGCAAGCCUGAUGCAGCCAUGCCGCGUGUGUGGAGAAGGCCUUCGGGUUGUAAAGUACGUUCAGCGGGGAGGCGUUACCCGCAGAAGAAGCACCGGCUAACUCCGUGCCAGCAGCCGCGGUAAUUC
rnacentral:rRNA from 1 species